GGCCGCGGGAAUUCGAUUAAUCUGCCUGGUAGUGGGGGACAACGUCUCGAAAGGGACGCUAAUACCGCAUACGUCCUACGGGAGAAAGUGGGGGAUCUUCGGACCUCACGCUAUCAGAUGAGCCUAGGUCGGAUUAGCUAGUUGGUGAGGUAAUGGCUCACCAAGGCGACGAUCCGUAACUGGUCUGAGAGGAUGAUCAGUCACACUGGAACUGAGACACGGUCCAGACUCCUACGGGAGGCAGCAGUGGGGAAUAUUGGACAAUGGGCGAAAGCCUGAUCCAGCCAUGCCGCGUGUGUGAAGAAGGUCUUCGGAUUGUAAAGCACUUUAAGUUGGGAGGAAGGGCAGUAAGCGAAUACCUUGCUGUUUUGACGUUACCGACAGAAUAAGCACCAGCUAACUCUGUG
rnacentral:rRNA from 1 species